rnacentral:rRNA from 1 species
CUACGGGGUGCUCCAGUUAAGAAUAAUCUACAAUGCACGCAAGUGUGAUAGUUUGAGCCAGAGUGAUUCUCAAUUUGGGAAUCUUUUGCUAAAUGUAAAAAGUUUGGCGAAUAAGGACUGGGUAAGACGAGUGCCAGCCGCCGCGGUAAUACUCGCGGUCCAAGUCGCAACCAUUUUUAUUGGGUCUAAAACAUCCGUAGCUUGCUUCUUAAGUUCCUUGUGAAAUUUUAUAUCUCAAAUAUGAAGCGUGCAAGAAGUACUGGGAAGCUAGAGACUGGAAGACGUAAGAAGUAUGUUCGAAGUAGCGGUAAAAUGUGUUAAUCUCGAGCAGACUAACGAUAGCGAAGGCAUCUUACGAGGACAGUUCUGACAGUAAGGGAUGAAGGCUAGGGGCGCAAAACGGAUUAGAUACCCCGGUAGUC